GAUGAACGCUAGCUACAGGCUUAACACAAGCAAGUCGAGGGACCGGCGCACGGGUGUGUAACACGUAUCUCUCCUGCCCUUUACCCGGGGAUAGCCUUUCGCAAGAAAGAUUAAUACCCGAUAUAAAGGAUGGGGAUGCGUUCCAUUAGGUUGUUGGUGAGGUAACGGCUCACCAAGCCUUCGAUGGAUAGGGGUUCUGAGAGGAAGGUCCCCCACAUUGGAACUGAGACACGGCCCAAACUGCGACGGGAGGCAGCAGUGAGGAAUAUGGUUCAAUGUGCGCUAGCAUGAACCAGCCAAGGAGCGUGAAGGUUGAAGGCUCAUGGGUCGUAAACUUCUUCUAUAGAAGAAUUUGUAUUAUAUGAAUAAGGACCGGCUAACUCCGUGUCAGCAGCCGCGGUAAUAC
rnacentral:rRNA from 1 species